AUGGCCACGAGGUGGUGCCCGAAUCCCAGUUAUUUGGAAGUCAUUCCGCCCACACCCCGCCCCUCCCUCCAACCCCGGAAGAAGCUGUUCAGGGAAGUAGGGACCAGAAAAACAGCAUCUGCCACGAUCUGCACAUCCAGUGAGAAUCAGACCUGGUUCCUGCCCUGGGGAGCAGACAAUCUGGAGGGGGAGGCUGGCAGAGAAGCACACAGGGCACUUUGUCCUGAAGUAAGUGUUGGGCACAGUGGGGACCCAGAGGAUGCAGUUGCUGGUGUCACCUGAACAGGUUAGGGGCACGAAGGAAAGGAAGGUCUGAGAGACUUUGUAGAUUCCUAGAGGACUAAGAAUUUAUUCUAGAAACUGCUGCUGUGGCGCAACAAGAUUGGCUGCAUUUCUACAACAUCAGAAUGUAGGCCUGAUCCCCGGCCCGGCACAGUAGGUUAAAGGAUCCUACUGCUGCAGCUAUGGAGUAGGUUGUAGCUACAGCUCGGAUCUGAUCCCUGGCCCAGGAACUCCAUAUGUCAAGAAAAGAAGAAGAAAAAAAUAAUUUACUCCAGCAUAAUUUUCAAAAAGGUAAAAUCAUGGCCCUCAUACAGAUUUUUAAAAAUGAACGUGUGUCAAAGAUUUCCUUUAACUCUUUAAUUGACAAGGAAAUAGCAAGAUGUUAAAAGUAGUUCAAAUGAAAAUUUGACUUACAUGUACUUGUGUUUUCUACUGGACAACCAAAAGUCCUUUGCAUAGUUGUGAAUAAGGUUCAUUUUCUUGAUAUAGGCAGGAAUCCUUUGCAUUAUAUCUGUUUUCUACAAAUUACUUCUAGCCCUACAAAAAGUCAAAGACAGGCAGCCAUACACACCCCCAAAGGAUCAGAUCAUCAUCAGAGGACGCUCAGCCUUCCUCUGAAAGGACCUCCAUGAAUCUCUUUUGUAUUUUCCAAGGUUUUUCUACGUUUUCUAGAUUGACCCUCAGAAGAAUCAGGAAAAAUCAGGUAGCAGCUGUUCCUGAAGGAGCAGGUCACCUAGAGAGAGCCUGGUCUGCAUGCUUCCGCCAUCCCCUUCCACGUGCUGGUGACAGGCUUCCAAUUCCAGCAGGAGCGGGCCCGCCAGUGCCCGCCAGCAGGUGGCGCUGAGGCACAUCCUCAGCAGCACCCUGAGGAAUUCGGGGCUAGGAACUGGCUCCCAGUUUUCCACACUGCUGGCCCUUGGGAAUCAGGUUUCAUGAUUUAAGAAUUUCACAGGGCUCUUUCUGGGUGAGCUCGACAAGCCCUGUGAAUUCAUUCAUUCGCUGGUUCAGUCAUCUUUUCAUUCGACGAACCCGCAGUCAGGCCCACAAAUCGUGUUGCUGAGAUUCUCCAGAGAAUCAGUCCUUGUCUCUGCUUGUUUUUGCUUGCCUGGCUUUGCUGCCAGGACUCAGAGCCACCUGGAAUUUUGAACACUCAGCAUCCCUCCACUCCACCCCUGCCCUGCCUGCUCGUGUGUCCACUCCCCUUGGAAAAUUCACCUCCUCAGAGCUUGAAGACAAGAUUUAUGGAGUUCCUGUUGUGGCGCCAUCAGAAAUGCAUCUGACUAGGAACCAUGAGGUCGUGGGUUCAAUCCCUGGCCUCUCUCAGUGGGUUAAGGAUCCAGUGUUGCUGUGAGCUGUGGUGUAGGUCACAGAUGUGGCUUGGAUCCUGUGUUGCUGUAGCUGUGGCAUAGGCUGGCAGCUGCAGCUCCGAUUUGACCCCUCGCCUGGGAACCUCCACAUGUAGCGAGUGCAGCCCUAAAAAAAAAAAAA
rnacentral:lncRNA from 1 species